rnacentral:rRNA from 1 species
AUACGUAGGUGGCAAGCGUUGUCCGGAUUUACUGGGCGUAAAGAGCGCGCAGGCGGCCAGGUCAGUCGAAUGUGAAAGCCCCCGGCUCAACUGGGGAAGGUCGUUCGAUACUGCCUGGCUCGAAGGUAGGAGAGGGAAGUGGAAUUUCAGGUGUAGUGGUGAAAUGCGUAGAUAUCUGAAGGAACACCAGUGGCGAAGGCGACUUUCUGGCCUAUUCUUGACGCUGAGGCGCGAAAGCUAGGGGAGCGAACGGGAUUAGAUACCCCGGUAGUCCUAGCCGUAAACGAUGAACACUAGAUGUUGGCGGUAUCAACCCCGCCAGUGUCGCAGCUAACGCAUUAAGUGUUCCGCCUGGGGAGUACGGCCGCAAGGCUAAA